UGCAGUCGAGCGGAUGAGAGGAGCUUGCUCCUUGAUUUAGCGGCGGACGGGUGAGUAAUGCCUAGGAAUCUGCCUGGUAGUGGGGGAUAACGUUCCGAAAGGAACGCUAAUACCGCAUACGUCCUACGGGAGAAAGCAGGGGACCUUCGGGCCUUGCGCUAUCAGAUGAGCCUAGGUCGGAUUAGCUAGUUGGUGAGGUAAUGGCUCACCAAGGCGACGAUCCGUAACUGGUCUGAGAGGAUGAUCAGUCACACUGGAACUGAGACACGGUCCAGACUCCUACGGGAGGCAGCAGUGGGGAAUAUUGGACAAUGGGCGAAAGCCUGAUCCAGCCAUGCCGCGUGUGUGAAGAAGGUCUUCGGAUUGUAAAGCACUUUAAGUUGGGAGGAAGGGCAGUAAGCUAAUACCUUGCUGUUUUGACGUUACCGACAGAAUAAGCACCGGCUAACUUCGUGCCAGCAGCCGCGGUAAUACGAAGGGUGCAAGCGUUAAUCGGAAUUACUGGGCGUAAAGCGCGCGUAGGUGGUUCGUUAAGUUGGAUGUGAAAGCCCCGGGCUCAACCUGGGAACUGCAUCCAAAACUGGCGAGCUAGAGUACGGUAGAGGGUGGUGGAAUUUCCUGUGUAGCGGUGAAAUGCGUAGAUAUAGGAAGGAACACCAGUGGCGAAGGCGACCACCUGGACUGAUACUGACACUGAGGUG
rnacentral:rRNA from 1 species